rnacentral:rRNA from 1 species
UACGUAGGGCGCGAGCGUUGUCCGGAAUUAUUGGGCGUAAAGAGCUCGUAGGCGGUUUGUUGCGUCGGAUGUGAAAGCCCGGGGCUUAACCCCGGGUCUGCAUUCGAUACGGGCAGACUGGAGUGUGGUAGGGGAGAUCGGAAUUCCUGGUGUAGCGGUGAAAUGCGCAGAUAUCGUAAGGAAGACCAGUGGCGAAGGCGGGUCUCUGGACAGUUCCUGACGCUGAGGAGCGAAAGCGUGGGGAGCGAACAGG